rnacentral:rRNA from 1 species
UGGUGGAGUGAUUUGUCUGCUUAAUUGCGAUAACGAACGAGACCUUAACCUGCUAAAUAGCCAGGCCCGCUUUUGCGGGUCGCAGGCUUCUUAGAGGGACUAUCGGAUUUCAAGACGAUGGAAGUUUGAGGCAAUAACA